rnacentral:tRNA from 1 species
AGUGAGAUGGCAGAGUGGCAAUGCGUUCCGCUGUAAACGGAUUGGGAAACUAUCGAGAGUUCAAAUCUCUCUCUCACUA